rnacentral:RNase_P_RNA from 1 species
CGAGUCGGCCGGGCGGUCGCGUCGGUUCCCGCGAGGGAACCGCCGAGGAACGUCCGGGCUCCACAGGGCAAGGUGGUUGCUAACGGCAACCCGGGGUGACCCGCGGGAAAGUGCCACAGAAAACAGACCGCCGGCGUCGUAUCUGGGCGUCCGGCAAGGGUGAAACGGUGGUGUAAGAGACCACCAGCGCCCGGGGUGACCCGGGCGGCUCGGCAAACCCCACCCGGAGCAAGAUCACAAGGGUGCGGUCCCUCGGGACCGUUCCUGCGCAGGCGAUCGAGGGCGGCCCGCCCGAGCCUGCGGGUAGAUCGCUAGAGCCGGCCGGCAACGGCCGACCGAGAGGGAUGACCGCCGGCCGGGACAAUGCCGCAAGGCGUCCCGGUCACAGAACCCGGCGUACAGGCCGGCUCGUCCG